rnacentral:lncRNA from 1 species
UGAAUCCAUGGCAUUAAUCGUUGUUUCCAAACGUGGAGGUCGUGAAGUACGAAAGGAUGACGGUAGGAGGAUCGUGCCGUUCCCGGUUUCCGUUUGUGUAGAUGCCGUCGAUGUAGCUCACGUUUUGGCAUGAGAUGUUCUUUUUGCUUAAGCUGGUGGAUCGGGUAUGGACUUGUUUUGUGCCUAAGGCCUAAACGGAAUAUUCUUGCCACCCCUUUGCACGUGGACUUACACCUCCUUUCCAGAGCCAGGCCCAAUCUUCUUGGAGUCUCAUUAGUCAUUAGAAUUAAUCAAGAUUAGAUUAUGAUUUAGAAAACUAAAAAUAUUAGAAAUAAUUAGAUGUGAUUAGGAGGUUAAUUGUUUAGUUACUGUUACUGUUAAUGAUUAGGACAUAUUAGGAUUAACUUGUAUUUGUUAGAGUUAAUUUAGGUUAAUUAGUUUAGUUUGGAAUAAAUUAGAUGUGAUUAGGAGGUUAAUUGUUUAGUUACUGUUACUGUUAAUGAUUAGGACAUAUUAGGAUUAACUUGUAUUUGUUAGAGUUAAUUUAGGUUAAUUAGUUUAGUUUGGAA